UUCAAUUGGCGAUAUGCUUGUAAAAGCCUGAUCUCAUCAGAUCUCGGAAGCUAAGCAGGGUAGGGGCUGUUAAGUACUUGGAUGGGAAACCUCUGGAAAUAUCACGUAGCACUGUAGAGU
rnacentral:rRNA from 1 species